rnacentral:rRNA from 1 species
GACGAACGCUGGCGGCGUGCUUAACACAUGCAAGUCGAACGAUGAAGCCGGAGCUUGCUCUGGUGAAUUAGUGGCGAACGGGUGAGUAACACGUGAGUAACCUGCCCUUGACUCUGGGAUAACUGCGGGAAACUGUAGCUAAUACCGGAUACGACCCUCGGAGGCAUCUCCUGGGGGUGGAAAGAAUUUCGGUCAAGGAUGGACUCGCGGCCUAUCAGCUAGUUGGUGAGGUAACGGCUCACCAAGGCGACGACGGGUAGCCGGCCUGAGAGGGUGACCGGCCACACUGGGACUGAGACACGGCCCAGACUCCUACGGGAGGCAGCAGUGGGGAAUAUUGCACAAUGGGCGCAAGCCUGAUGCAGCAACGCCGCGUGAGGGAUGACGGCCUUCGGGUUGUAAACCUCUUUUAGUAGGGAAGAAGCGAAAGUGACGGUACCUGCAGAAAAAGCACCGGCUAACUACGUGCCAGCCGCCGCGGUAA